rnacentral:rRNA from 1 species
UACAGAGGUCUCAAGCGUUGUUCGGAGUUACUGGGCGUAAAGGGUGCGUAGGUGGCCGCGCAAGUCAGAUGUGAAAUCCGGGGGCCCAACCCCCGAACUGCAUCCGAAACUGCGUGGCUUGAGUGCUAUAGAGGGACUUGGAAUUUUCGGUGUAGCAGUGAAAUGCGUAGAUAUCGGAAGGAACACCAGUGGCGAAAGCGGCUUCCUGGUCCAGCACCGACGUUCAGGCACGAAAGCGUGGGGAGCAAACAGG